rnacentral:rRNA from 1 species
UUUCUUCGGAGAGUUUGAUCCUGGCUCAGGAUGAACGCUGGCGGCGUGCCUAAUACAUGCAAGUCGAGCGAACUGAUUAGAAGCUUGCUUCUAUGACGU